UGCGCAGGCGGCCUGAUAAGUCAGGGGUGAAAUAUGACGGCUCAACCGUCAAACUGCCCCUGAAACUGCCAGGCUUGAGUCCGGGAGAGGUAGGUGGAAUUCCAGGUGUAGCGGUGAAAUGCGUAAAUAUCUGGAGGAACACCGGUGGCGAAGGCGGCCUACUGGCCCGGAACUGACGCUCAGGCACGAAGGCUAGGGGAGCGAACAGGAUUAGAUACCCUGGUAGUCC
rnacentral:rRNA from 1 species